rnacentral:rRNA from 1 species
GGCGAACGCUGGCGGCGUGCUUAACACAUGCAAGUCGAGCGGUAAGGCCCUUUCGGGGGUACGACGAGCGGCGAACGGGUGAGUAACACGUGGGUGACCUGCCCUCAGCUCUGGGAUAAGCCUGGGAAACCGGGUACUAAUACUGGAUAUGACUCCAUGACGCAUGUUGGUGGGGUAGGAAAGCCUUGUGCGGCUGAGGA